rnacentral:rRNA from 1 species
GCAACCUGUCCUUAGUUACCAGCACGUUAUGGUGGGCGACUCUAAGGAGACUGCCGGUGACAAACCGGAGGAAGGUGGGGAUGACGUCAAGUCAUCAUGGCCCUUACGGCCUGGGCUACACACGUGCUACAAUGGUCGGUACAAAGGGUUGCCAAGCCGCGAGGUGGAGCUAAUCCCAUAAAACCGAUCGUAGUCCGGAUCGCAGUCUGCAACUCGACUGCGUGAAGUCGGAAUCGCUAGUAAUCGUGAAAUCAGAAUGUCACGGUGAAUACGUUCCCGGGCCUU